rnacentral:rRNA from 1 species
UACGAAGGGGGCUAGCGUUGUUCGGAAUUACUGGGCGUAAAGCGCGCGUAGGCGGUUUUGCAAGCCAGAGGUGAAGUGCCUGAGCUCAACUUAGGAAUUGCCUUUGGGACUGCGAGGCUUUGAGGACGGGAGAGGUGAGUGGAAUUCCCAGUGUAGAGGUGAAAUUCGUAGAUAUUGGGAAGAACACCGGUGGCGAAGGCGGCUCACUGGCCCGUUUCUGACGCUGCAGCGCGAAAGCGUGGGGAUCAAACAGG